rnacentral:rRNA from 1 species
CGCCUGCCCGGUGCUGGAAGGUUAAGACGAGAUGUGAGAGCAUUGAAUCGAAGCCCCAGUAAACGGCGGCCGUAACAAUAACGGUCCUAAGGUAGCGAAAUUCCUUGUCGGGUAAGUUCCGACCCGCAUGAAUGGCGUAACGACUUCCCCACUGUCUCCAGCAUCGACUCAGCGAAAUUGAAUUCUCCGUGAAGAUGCGGAGUACCCGUGGUUAGACGGAAAGACCCCGUGCACCUUUACUGCAAUUUUACAUUGGUAUUAGGCAUAGAUUGUGUAGGAUAGGUGGGAGACAUUGAAGCUUGGUCGCCAGAUCGAGUGGAGUCAACCUUGAAAUACC